CAGUAGCCGCGGGAAUACGUAGGUGGCAAGCGUUGUCCGGAAUUAUUGGGCGUAAAGGGCUCGCAGGCGGUUUCUUAAGUCUGAUGUGAAAGCCCCCGGCUCAACCGGGGAGGGUCAUUGGAAACUGGGAAACUUGAGUGCAGAAGAGGAGAGUGGAAUUCCACGUGUAGCGGUGAAAUGCGUAGAGAUGUGGAGGAACACCAGUGGCGAAGGCGACUCUCUGGUCUGUAACUGACGCUGAGGAGCGAAAGCGUGGGGAGCGAACAGGAUUAGAUACCCCCGUAGUCCUGUCUCUUAUACA
rnacentral:rRNA from 1 species